GGCCAUUCAGCAACAGAGCGAUAAGGCAGUGGGUGAGCUUCGAGCACUGGGAUGAAGUUUGGUGCUUGGAUGUAUCCUCCGAGGUUUCCCCCGAAGUCACGCAAAGCAUCAUCCUGGCUGUGCGUUAAGCAGGAGGCGACCUACCGCUUUCCAGCAUCCGCGCCGCGGCGGCUCCUCUGCGGAGGAGGAGGGGGAGGGGGGGCCAACGCAGCAAAAGGAACUCCAGGCCGGCUAGACCCCUACCCCGACUCCGGCUGCGCGCCGGGGGACAUUCUGACGAGCAUCAUCGGCCCGAAGGGGCAGAGCAGCCAGCGGUGCGCAGCCUUGAUGCCAGGUAACAGCUGGGCGCCGGCUCACGUGAGUAGCAGCAGAGCAGGGCUCGGGGGUGGGGAAACGGACGGAUCCGGCGGCAGCAGCAGGCAGCAGCUCUGCCUCCUAACGGUUCAGCGCCGCCGCCUGCGCAGGGACUCAACGCCGGCCAGUCCGGAGGCAGGAACUUGGAGGGAGGUGGCCGGGUGCGGCCGCCAAAUCCUUUCGCCGGAAGAGGGAGCCUUUUUGGACUCGACGACUCGGGUCGCGGCGUGGCGGGCUCGCAGCAACAGCAGCACCAGGCGCAGAACGAAAGCGAAGACGUUCGGAAACAGGCCGCGCGUGGCGCUCAGGUGAUGCUCGGCGAUUGUAAAGAAGCAGCGCUCGUCGUGCAGCUUAAACAGGGUGACGGUCCCUUCCCACUUUGUGAUCAGGAGCUCCUCUGAAUGUGAGCAGAACGACAAAGUGCACCUCCGAACAUGAACAGAGUGACAGCGGAGGGCCAUCUCCAGAGCAGCUUGGGCAAAAUGCGGCGGCUACGAGGUGGGGCACCUCGCUGUGCACGUAUCACAACUGUCCUUUUAAGCACCUGCGUUGGUUGCCCGUUAACUAUCCAGCCAGAUUGAAGGUGUUUUUUCCCUUUGGCAUACAAGACCUUUAACAACUUGGGGGCAGUUCACUUGGCAGACCACCUCUCUCAGUAACCUGGUGAGAUCGUUAAGAUCUUCAGGGCAGGUCCUGCUGCAGGUGUGGUACCUGAAUGUCAUCUUAUGGCUGCCCGCAUUAGGGCCUUCUCUGAUAUUUGGAGGGUCCUUCCGCACCAAUUGAAGACCUGUCUUUUUACCUAGGCCUCUGCAGAGUGAAUGUUUGUUUCCGUCAUCCUUGAAUUUGAUUAUGUUUUUAUAUAACUAUUAUGAUUUUAGCUGUUUUUAUUCUUUGUACACCACUUCAGCUUAUAUUUGUAGGAGGUGUGUCAAUGGCUACUAGAAUGGAUGCCUAGGUUGGAAAGAUGUCUGUAAAACCGUUUGCAGUCAAGAGCAGGUGAAGGUUUUGCCUUUUAUUCUGCUUCAGAAUGCCCAGAAGCAAUUGGUGAGCCACUGUGUGAAACAGGAUGCUGGACUAGAUAGGUUGUGGCCUGAUCCAGCAAGGCUCCUCUUAUGUUUGAAUGGGAAGUGGUAUGUAAAUAUUUUAAAUAAAUAAUAUGAAAGAUACGGAAUGGCUUUUCUU
rnacentral:lncRNA from 1 species